rnacentral:lncRNA from 1 species
GCUGGAAAAAGGUGCCGAGUCCAAACCACUCCCUUCUGUUUGGGAGCACGAUAUAGGGACCUCAGAAUCGAGGCUCGAGAUUGUUAUGGAUGAAGGAACUAUCGUUGCUUGAACCUUCAUUAGGCUUGGGCAUGAAACCCGAUCCCUCGACGGUAGUUGAACUUGCACCGAGGUAGCUUUAACCACCACUGUAGGUGGUGGGAUGUCCUCAGCAAGU